UCGGUACACACAUGUAACACACCAAUACCUACAAUAAAGUCUCUUGGUGCGACAUUCGAAUCCCAACAGGAAGUCGGUUAUUUUGAAUUUUCUCCGCAAAAUUUGUGUCGUUUUUGCCAUUUUCAGGGGUUGUACUUUAACGAACUCCUCCUAGAGAUUUAUUCAGAUCAACACCAAACUUUGUCAGUGUAAUCUAAAGGCCUUUGCGAUGUUAAAUUGCGAAGAUCUUGAGGUUUCGUUUAAGGGCGUGUCUGUGGCGGCCUUACAAAUAUCGAUGUUUCGCCAUGAGAAAGGAAGUUGCUAUAACUCAGACAUACAAUGUCCAAUCUGCCCCAAACUUCACAUGUUUGAGAAGACUCCUGACCUGAAUAUAUCUACAUGCCAAUAUUCAGAUAUCGCUAUAGCGCCACCUGCUGGCAACAGGAAGUGACAUGUUUUACGCCGUAACAAACUACUCCUAGAUAUUUUAUGACAUUUUAUAAUUUUUUUUGGUCAGUCUAAUCUAAAGGCCUUUGCGAUGUUAAAUUGUGAACAUCUUGAGGUUUCAUUAAAGGGUGUGGCCAUGGUGCCGUGACAAAGUUCGAUGUCUCGCCAUUGGAAUAGAAGUUGUAACUCAGGCAUAAGAUGUCCGAUCUUCCCCAAACUUCACAUGUUCGAAAAGAGUCUUGGCCUGAACACAUCUGAAGGUCAUUAUUCCACUAUAAUCAUAGCGCCACCUGCUGACAACAGAAAAUGGCUUGUUUUACACUAACUUAAACAUGCAAUGUCCAAUCUGCACCAAACUUCAAAUAUUUCAUAAGAGUCAUGGCCUGAAGAUAUCUAAAGGCCAAUGUUCAGU
ensembl:lncRNA